CUUAAAAAAUCCGUCGACUUUUAAAAUCGUGAGGGUUCAAGUCCCUCUAUCCCCA
rnacentral:tRNA from 1 species